rnacentral:tRNA from 1 species
GUUUUCGUGGCCUAGUGGUUAGGGCGUCUGUCUUACACACAGAAGAUCCCCGGUUCAAUCCCGGGCGGGAACA